rnacentral:rRNA from 1 species
GACGAACGCUGGCGGCGUGCCUAAUACAUGCAAGUCGAGCGAAGUUUUUCUGGUGCUUGCACUAGAAAAACUUAGCGGCGAACGGGUGAGUAACACGUAAAGAACCUGCCUCAUAGACUGGGACAACUAUUGGAAACGAUAGCUAAUACCGGAUAACAGCAUUAACUGCAUGGUUGAUGUUUGAAAGUUGGUUAUGCUAACACUAUGAGAUGGCUUUGCGGUGCAUUAGCUAGUUGGUGGGGUAAAGGCCUACCAAGGCGACGAUGCAUAGCCGACCUGAGAGGGUGAUCGGCCACACUGGGACUGAGACACGGCCCAGACUCCUACGGGAGGCAGCAGUAGGGAAUCUUCCGCAAUGGGCGAAAGCCUGACGGAGCAACGCCGCGUGAGUGAAGAAGGAUUUCGGUUCGUAAAGCUCUGUUGUUAGGGAAGAAUGGAUAUGUAGUAACUAUACAUAU